AACCUUAUGGACCUGCGGGCGUAUACCUGCGGAGGGAUCAUUACCGAGUUUACAACUCCCAAACCCCUGUGAACAUACCACUUGUUGCCUCGGCGGAUCAGCCCGCUCCCGGUAAAACGGGACGGCCCGCCAGAGGACCCCUAAACUCUGUUUCUAUAUGUAACUUCUGAGUAAAACCAUAAAUAAAUCAAAACUUUCAGCAACGGAUCU
rnacentral:misc_RNA from 1 species